rfam:TPA: Bos taurus chromosome 1, whole genome shotgun sequence.
UCCCUGGUGGUCCAGUGCCUAAGAUUCUGCACUCCCAAUGUAGGGGACCCAGGUUCAAUCCCUGGUCAGGGAG